CGCCGGCCCGCAGGCGACGGUAUCGUCACCUCGUCAACCGAAGACGACGGCGCAACGGAAGCCCGGUGAGAUUCCGGCACGGCCGCGCCACUGUGAGCCGGACGACGCCCCGUGCGGGGCGGAGUUCGGUGAGUCAGACCCGCACCGUCGUGAAGAGCUCCAC
rnacentral:ncRNA from 2 species